rnacentral:rRNA from 1 species
UACGUAGGGUGCAAGCGUUAAUCGGAAUUACUGGGCGUAAAGCGUGCGCAGGCGGUUAUGCAAGACAGAUGUGAAAUCCCCGGGCUCAACCUGGGAACUGCAUUUGUGACUGCAUGGCUAGAGUGCGGCAGAGGGGGAUGGAAUUCCGCGUGUAGCAGUGAAAUGCGUAGAUAUGUGGAGGAAUACCGAUGGCGAAGGCAGCCCCCCUGGGAUAACACUGACGCUCAUGCACGAAAGCGUGGGGAGCAAACAGG